CGGGGAGGAGCCCAGAGCCUGAAUCAGCAUGUGUGUUAGUGGAAGCGUCUGGAAAGGCGCGCGAUACAGGGUGACAGCCCCGUACACAAAAGCGCAUAUGCUGUGAGCUCGAUGAGUAGGGCGGGACACGUGGUAUCCUGUCUGAAUAUGGGGGGACCAUCCUCCAAGGCUAAAUACUCCUGACUGACCGAUAGUGAACCAGUACCGUGAGGGAAAGGCGAAAAGAACCCCGGCGAGGGGAGUGAAAAAGAACCUGAAACCGUGUACGUACAAGCAGUGGGAGCCCCACCACUAAGCCAGUGGUGAACUCCACAUACGCAUCCUUUGCUGAGGAUACGGUUAACGGAGCGAAAGCGACGUUCAACCGCAAAAGAAGCAGAGGGGGCUUAGUGGUGGGGUGACUGCGUACCUUUUGUAUAAUGGGUCAGCGACUUAUAUUCUGUAGCAAGGUUAACCGAAUAGGGGAGCCGGAGGGAAACCGAGUCUUAACCGGGCGUUAAGUUGCAGGGUAUAGACCCGAAACCCGGUGAUCUAGCCAUGGGCAGGUUGAAGGUUGGGUAACACUAACUGGAGGACCGAACCGACUAAUGUUGAAAAAUUAGCGGAUGACCUGUGGCUGGGGGUGAAAGGCCAAUCAAACCGGGAGAUAGCUGGUUCUCCCCGAAAGCUAUUUAGGUAGCGCCUCGUGAAUUCAUCUCCGGGGGUAGAGCACUGUUUCGGCUAGGGGGCCAUCCCGGCUUACCAACCCGAUGCAAACUGCGAAUACCGGAGAAUGUUAUCACGGGAGACACACGGCGGGUGCUAACGUCCGUCGUGAAGAGGGAAACAACCCAGACCGCCAGCUAAGGUCCCAAAGUCAUGGUUAAGUGGGAAACGAUGUGGGAAGGCCCAGACAGCCAGGAUGUUGGCUUAGAAGCAGCCAUCAUUUAAAGAAAGCGUAAUAGCUCACUGGUCGAGUCGGCCUGCGCGGAAGAUGUAACGGGGCUAAACCAUGCACCGAAGCUGCGGCAGCGACGCUGAUGCGUUGUUGGGUAGGGGAGCGUUCUGUAAGCCUGUGAAGGUGGCCUGUGAGGGUUGCUGGAGGUAUCAGAAGUGCGAAUGCUGACAUAAGUAACGAUAAAGCGGGUGAAAAGCCCGCUCGCCGGAAGACCAAGGGUUCCUGUCCAACGUUAAUCGGGGCAGGGUGAGUCGACCCCUAAGGCGAGGCCGAAAGGCGUAGUCGAUGGGAAACGGGUUAAUAUUCCCGUACUUGGUGUUACUGCGAAGGGGGGACGGAGAAGGCUAUGUUGGCCGGGCGACGGUUGUCCCGGUUUAAGCGUGUAGGUGUGUGUUCCAGGUAAAUCCGGUUCACUUUAACACUGAGGCGUGAUGACGAGGCACUACGGUGCUGAAGCAACAAAUGCCCUGCUUCCAGGAAAAGCCUCUAAGCAUCAGGUAACAUCAAAUCGUACCCCAAACCGACACAGGUGGUCAGGUAGAGAAUACCAAGGCGCUUGAGAGAACUCGGGUGAAGGAACUAGGCAAAAUGGUGCCGUAACUUCGGGAGAAGGCACGCUGACACGUAGGUGAAGUGAUUUACUCAUGGAGCUGAAGUCAGUCGAAGAUACCAGCUGGCUGCAACUGUUUAUUAAAAACACAGCACUGUGCAAACACGAAAGUGGACGUAUACGGUGUGACGCCUGCCCGGUGCCGGAAGGUUAAUUGAUGGGGUCAGCGCAAGCGAAGCUCCUGAUCGAAGCCCCGGUAAACGGCGGCCGUAACUAUAACGGUCCUAAGGUAGCGAAAUUCCUUGUCGGGUAAGUUCCGACCUGCACGAAUGGCGUAAUGAUGGCCAGGCUGUCUCCACCCGAGACUCAGUGAAAUUGAACUCGCUGUGAAGAUGCAGUGUACCCGCGGCAAGACGGAAAGACCCCGUGAACCUUUACUAUAGCUUGACACUGAACAUUGAGCCUUGAUGUGUAGGAUAGGUGGGAGGCUUUGAAGUGUGGACGCCAGUCUGCAUGGAGCCGGCCUUGAAAUACCACCCUUUAAUGUUU
rnacentral:rRNA from 1 species